rnacentral:lncRNA from 10 species
UUUCUGAGUUAGUUUUGAAUAUAAGGUCAAAAUGUAUCAUUUCAGGGCUAGAGCUAUAUUUAGGUUAUUUGGGCUAAACUCAUUUAUAGGCAGGAUUAAUUCACACCAGGAAGGCUGGGAAGUAUUGUUAGAAAAUGUCAGGAAGGAACUGUUUUUACUGUGGGAUAGGUUUCUGCUUGAUGCAGAGACGUCCGGGCUUUUAUAACAUUAUACCACAAAGGUCAAGGCAGUACUCAGGAUCAACAAGCAGCCCUUUAGGGUCAGUUUCUUCAAAGGCUUGGAUUUCACUCCCACUCAAAGUGGUAAACUGAUAAAUGUGGAGUCUGGGUAAAGAGAUUGGCUGGAUCAGCAAAUGUAUUUAGUAGAGACGAGGUUUCACCAUGUUGGCCAGGCUGCUCUCAAACUCCUGACUUAAGGUGAUCCACUUGCCUUGGCCUCCCAAAUUGCUGGGAUUACAGACGUGAGCUGCUGUGCCCGGCCAGGAAUGUCACUUUUCAUAUUAAGAUAUCUUUUUAUUCCUUCUUCUCCAUUAAUAUGGUCAUUAGCUA